ensembl:lncRNA
CACUGGGUUAAGAUUACUUUUUCUGAGAAUUGUUGUAACAUUUUGAGCGGUGGCACUACACAUGGGAAAAACAACAACUCAUCCCAUUUGGAGUAAUAAUAAAUGAAAAACAGCAGUUACUCAUUUUGCUAGUAAUGGGCCCACAAUGUCAACUCCCAGCAUUUCAUUUGGACUGGUGGUGGUAACUGAUUGGAGGUUCCCCUCAGAUUUCUGGUUAUCAUACCUCAGGGUUUGACAUUUCACGCAACUCCUUAUAUGGUGUUUUACAUCCGUACAUAUUCCUGGCCAAAGCGCUACUUCCUGAAGCCGCUUAUGUGUUUUAUAGAUCCCUCUGUGGCCACUUAGGGGGUGAGAAUGAUAAUGCUGCAGGACGGUUAGCCUGAAACUGCUGGGAACACACAAAAUGUAUUUGACCAUUCAUUAGUCUCCAAACGCAUCGGAUGAGGAGGCUGUUGGUUUUGGUGGAUCCCAUGACCCAUUGCAGAGUGGAAUGGUCAGUGACAACCAUGAAGAGCUUAUUUUCAAGUUAAUAUUGCCAUUUUUCCAAUGGCCAUACAACUGCCAGACACUCUUUUUUGGUUGCAGUGUAGUUGUUUUCUGCCCCAGUUAAGGUUCUGCUGGCAUAUGCAGUAACUUCCUCUCUGCCUGGAUCUUUUUGCUGUAUGAGAAUGGGACCCAAUCCAGAGUCGCUGGCAUCUGUAUAUAUGAUAAAAGGGACCUGAAAAUCAGGGUGGCCGAGAAUAAGGGGUGAGAUGAGGCAUGCUUUCAACUGGUCAAAUGCUUGUUGACACAACGUCAUCCAUUUAAACACCCGUCCUUUCUUUUUCAGUGAGUUGAGGCACUCAGCAAUUUUAGAAAAGUUUGGCACAAAUCAGUGGUACCAACCAGCUAAUUCCAGAAAAUGCUGAACUUCCUUCAAAUUGCUGGGAAUGACCUCAACUUUACUUGGAUCAGCCAUGAUGCCUUUAGUGCUUACCACAUGACCCAGAAAAGUGAUUUCUGGAAGACAAAUCUUGCACCUUCAAAUUUAUAGUCAAACUAGUGCCUUCCAGUCUGUGGAUGACAGUUUGAAGGUGAUGGAAAUGCUGGGUCACUGUAGGUGAAUAAAUGAAGAUGAUGUUGUCUAUGUAGACAAAGCAAAUCUUCCUUCUUAGCUUCCCCAGGACUGUCUCCUUCAGCCACUGGAAGGUAGCAGGUGCAUUUUUUAACCAAAUGGCAUAACAUUGAAGUGAUAUAAGCCUGCACUCACGAUGAAAGCAGUUUGGGCUUUACUCUCAAGGUCCAUUGUCACUUGCCCAUACCCUCUGUUGUGGUCUAUGGUGGAGAAAAUGGAUGGAUGCCCCGGAGAGUGAUUGUAGGAUCUCAGUGAUAUUUCGAGAGGAUGAGCAUUAUUUUCUGUAAUUGCAUUGACUUUACGAUAGUCUACCCAGAACCAAAUCUUUCUUUGGUGCCAUGACUACCGGUGAGGCCCAACCAGUAUGUGAUGGCUCUACAAUUCCUUCUCUUAACACUGUCCCCAGCUGUUCUCCCAUUGCUUGUUGUUUUACAGGGGACAACCAAUAUGGCUGUUGCUUGAUUGGUAUUUGGCAGGUGGUGUAGAUACGAUGCUGCGGGACAUCCAUUCUUCCAGGUCGCAGAUUGUCCUAGUUACCUUGUUGGAAGGAAGGAUGCUGGGCAGAUCAUGCUGAGCGAUUGAAGAAAGAGAUGAGACUUCAAUGAACGUACAGAGUUUCAUGUGGUCAGGUUCUGGGGCCCAAGUGAGAGUUUGCACUGGGGUGUUGUCUCCUCCUAGAGCAGGGGACUGCAUCUGCACUUGGGUUCCAGGAUAGAUGGAGCUGUGGACUUAAAUGGUUUACAUUUUACACAUUUUCCAAAAUUCAUAAAAAUGUUCUCUCUAUACUUACAUGUACAUUCAAAUGGUAUUGUUUUUUCUUUUCUGCUCUGCUCAAGUUCAAUGUUCA